ensembl:lncRNA
UGGAAACGUAGGUUUUUGGUGUACCAGAGCUGUUUCCUUCCAUUGCGUCACGCAGAACACCAAUUAUUGCAUCACAAUAGCUUGGCGCACACCUGCCAUGACUGUGUUCCAUUACAUCCCGCUGUCGUCAGACUCACUGUGUCCACCAGACAGCUCGGUAACAGUGUGACAUUGCUUAUUACUUCAACCCCAAGUUUCCCCUUGGUAAAGAACGCAUUUAUCUAAACAGCACUGGAUAGAAGCUACAUCUCCGUGCGCAUUUUGGCCAUCUUUCAUCCUACAGUGGUCGUGGUGAUGUGUGACUGAAGAAGUCAAUAUGUUUGCCAAUUCAGUCGAGGACCUUGGCCAACGUAAGCUAGUGCCACGGCUCCUCAAAACAUCCGAGGAGGAGUUAGGCUCAGAGGGGGUCACCGGGUACUUCAAACUAUUCGUGGUUCUCCUCUCCGUAAUUAUUUUCCUCUUCUGGGUUAUCCAUCUACGGAAAGAUGAUGAUGAGGUCUACGACGAGAUUGACUCAAACCUGGUCAACAGGUUCACAGAGGGAGUCACCCUCAACUACAAAUACCUCCAGCGCUUGGAGGGGCGGCUGGACAUGAAGAAGCUACAGAUAGACAGACUGAACGCUGAAGCGAACUUUGACCUCUCCUCCUGCUGCUGCUAUGGUUCUGACUCCUGCUUUGGUGGACCCUCCUGCAGCUACACCUCAGACUCCUGGUCUGAGAGGUCCUCCUGCAGAUUCACCUCUGACUCCUGCUCUGGGAGGUCCUCCUGCAGCUACACCUCUGACAACUACUCUGGGAGGUUCUCCUGCAGCUACACCUCUGACUCCUGGUCUGAGAGGUCCUCCUGCAGAUACACCUCUGACUCCUGCUCUGGGAGGUCCUCCUGCAGAAAUACCUCUAGAACUAAAACACAUUCUAGAUCACAUUGUAGAUCUUCCGAAUCUUCUAUGUCCUCCUCCAGAUCUAGUGGUGGUGACUGCAGCACCUGCCAACACUGUAACAAACGGCCGGACAGGUUCCUGGGCGGUAGUCUGGAUAGUCCCUACUCAUUGGAUAGCCUGGAUUGCCCUCACCCAUUGGAUAGCCCCAGCCCAGUGGAAAGCCCCAGACAACCAUUUAGUCUUAGCCCACUACCAGGAGAUGAUAAGGGGCACGUCAGAUACUAUGGCUCCACGCAAGCCUCCAACACCUCCUGCCGUUCGACUCGCCCCUCCUCUGAAAAUGCCUCCCAAUGGUCCUCUCCCAGCCUCUCGAGCUCCUCUAAGUACGUGAAUCCUUCUGACUCUCGGCUGCCUCUGGAGUAUCAUCAAAGCCCUCGGCAGCCUACUAUUGGUUACUACGACACCACCAAGAUGGAGGACAAAGGGGACUAUGUUCCUGUGGUUGCUACUACUGUUAAGUCUUCACCUGGCUGCAAAGACUGCUCCAACCCCGCUGACUCCUCCGAGACUCAGAAGGCCAACUGUGUAGACCAUUCCAAGACUCCGAUGACAGUGAGACGGAUUAUUACAGUGUUUGAGAUCGUUCCAGGGAAAAGUGACCCACCUGUCCUGCACAGCUGGAACCAACGACGCCUGGAGGUAAAUGUGCAACAGAAGGUAGCCCAUAAUGAGAGACUGAAGGGAGGAGGGACCAACACCACCUCUAACCUGACCUCUACCUCCACCCACCUCGAAACGACCCAGUCCACCUCAACCUCAUCUCAGGCUAAAACAAGAAGGAUCGCCAGGAAAACCACCAGCCUUCCAGACUUCUCCCCGCAGCGUGUCAACAACCCUCCUAGUCUCAGUGGGUCGGAGGGUAAAGGUCAAGACAAGCCGUCCAUCCGGAUGUACCUGCAGGGUGGGGCCCAGAUCACCUUCAUCACCCAGGAUAUCCAGGAGAAGCUAGAGUCCCAUGUCCGUCGCAAGCAGAGCCAGCGCCUCUGGGGAUUCCCCAAGCUAGUCACCAGGUACGUGGGAGACCACCUUGCCGACCUGGCUGCCCAGGCCCCCUCCGCUUCCGGCGACAGCAAGACGGUUAAGAUCCCUGGCAAGAUCAUGGGCAACGUAAGCGACCAUGUUGGCCGAGGGCAGCGAAACACAGAGUUGUGUUUCAGGCUGAGUAACAGGACAAGGCCACGGGAGGAGAGAGAGGAGACCCAGGCUACUAGUCCUGCAGCUACAGCCAAACUCAAGGACAAUUUAUACAGCUCACCUGCCAACAGCAGGCCUGUGGAGAAAACUCCCUUCACCAGCACCAGCACCACCACUACUCCCCAGCCAGCCGAGACCCACACUACCAGACCCACCCAGACCAGCCGAUCUCUGGACGAGUCCUCCCUCCAGAUGGCCCCAAACCCAGUGACCCUGACCCAGGAGAGACGCCAGCUGGAGAUGCAUGUGAAGAGGAACUGUCUGGAAGUCAAGCUCAAACCCCUCCCUGGCAUGGUGGCCACCAGCCAGACAACCCUUUCCUCAGCAACCAGGCAGCCAACUAGGCAGCCCAUCCAGGCAGCAGCCCUCGACCCUCUGAAAUGCCCUGCGCCACUAAGGCGGAGGGAUCCGUCGGCAGCAGAGGGAUACGCGUCUUCUAUGGACCCAGAGGCACCGAGGCGUCAGGAGGAGAAUCUGGUGAUGAAGCCCACAUCUUCGGCCACCCCUUCGACCUCCUCAGCCCACCCUCACAGCUCAGCUCUGGAGACUUGGACCGGCAUAGACACUGUCUCAGGACCCCGCUCUGCCUCCACCCCCAUACGACUGUUGUGUUAUGACACGGACACUGAAAGGCUUUUUGUGUUUACAACAUAGAUCUACAUGGACUAUUUGUUUUGGUACCAGAUGAUUCAGAACUGAUACAUUUUCUUUAACUAAUAAAAAGGUUUUGCAUUUCA